ACCUGAAGAACUGUCUGUGAAUGGACUCUGUUACAGCAGCCAGACUCCAGCUUGCCCUUUACAGUGGAAACAGAAGUGUCAGGGGUGAUGAGGCUCCUGACAUGUCUGCUUUCACUGUAAGGAGUCUACAUGUCUGUUAUCAUUGUAAGGAUCUACAUGUCUGUUAUCACUGUAAGGAGUCUUCAUGUCUGUUAUCACUGUAAGGAGUCUACAUGUCUGUUAUCACUGUAAGGAAUCUUCAUGUCUGUUAUCACUGUAAG